UAACGCGUGGGCAACCUGCCUUACACAGGGGGAUAACACUUAGAAAUAGGUGCUAAUACCGCAUAAGCGCACAGCUUUGCAUGAAGCAGUGUGAAAAACUCCGGUGGUGUAAGAUGGACCCGCGUCUGAUUAGCUGGUUGGCAGGGUAAAGGCCUGCCAAGGCGACGAUCAGUAGCCGGCCUGAGAGGGUGAACGGCCACAUUGGGACUGAGACACGGCCCAGACUCCUACGGAAGGCAGCAG
rnacentral:rRNA from 1 species